CGCCGGGGGCCGACCUGCCGGCUCCUCCCCCCGCCGCCCAGCGAGCAUAAAGCCCCGCGCUCGCCCGCGCGCCCAGGCGCCCGCGGAGGCGGCGGCGCCCGGACCCCACUCCCGUUGGGCUCCCGGGUCCUCGAGGGCAAGAGAGACCCCGAAUCCCGAGGCGGGCCGGGACCUGGGCGCGGCCGCACCCCACACCCACCCUGGCUCGGGGGCCGGGCCGCGGGAACGCCCUCCCGGAAUGAAGCGCUUCCCGGUGCCUUCAAGGUAGCUCGGUUCCGGAUCGGGGACCUCCCCAGUCCUCCCUCUCAGGUCCCUGCUCUCCUGAAUCUAAGAGGUCCCCAAUCUCUCUGGGUCGGGCGGGAGAUAGCCCCCCAAUCCUCUCACGUUCCAACUGGCGAGGAUCCCUCCAUUCUCCCAGUCGGAGCGAUUAUCGCCCUCCGAGCCCCCAAUUUCCUCUGAACCUAAUUGAGGGGUCCCUUUCAUUGGCCCUCAGUCCACUCCCAGUGUCCCAUGUCCCCCAUAUGCAAUGUGGGAACCCCUCUCAGUGCCUCGCGUCCCGAGCGGGAAGCCUCCACCAGCACCCACUAGAAACCGUGUCAGUUCUCCUCAACCCUUUCGGUCUCCGAGUGAGAAUUCCCCUCAGGUCCCCCAAACCCCUUCGUCCAGAGUCGAAGAAAACUCCCAGCCCCGAGCUCGGGUCUUUAGUUUGCCGUGCCCCGCGGCCCCCCACCCCCCACCCUCGGGUGUGAGGCGUCGCCACUGUUUCCCUCUCUCCCUGGCUCACUCUUGUCAGCCCUACUCGGACUUCUGUCUAGAUUCGGGAACGCCGGUUCCAGAGUCUCCCCGUCCACUCCCCACGGAAGCUGUAAGAAAGAGUUCUAACCCCACCCCAUCGGAUUGGAAGUACCUAAGCUGCCGGCCCACUGUGUUUGGAGUGACUUCUCUCAGUCCAUCUCAAUUUAGACCACUCCCCAUGGAGGCAAAUGCCUUCCCGGCUUCCUUCUCCCCCCCACCCUGGCUUCUAGGUCUCUGAGAUCCUCCAGUGUUUUCGCCCCAGGCUCCUGGGAACCAUCUCACCCACCCCCUUAAACUCCCUCCCUCUAGCCUGGGAACCCGGAGGAAGCCCAUCCUGGAUCACCUCUGGAUCAAGAGUACUCUCCCUGUCUCCCCUUCUCCAAAUCCAUGUCCCCGCCUCAAUCCCCUGGCUGAAAUCAGCCAAGAAACUGUCAAAGCCAAAGGCUGAGGCAGCCAGCCACUCCUGCUCAAAUCCCUAACCCUGCUGGGGGUCUCAGUGCCACAUAAGCCACUCCCGCCCAAUUGCCUCCCACUCCUUCCCCCACCCACCUUCAAUCUAGCCAGUGUAACCCAGUGACAGUCCUUGAUGACAAGUUCCUUGCCCACCUUGACCUCCAUUCUCAAGUCACCCACCUUUUUAUUAAUGUGUGCUAGAGCUCUGGGCAACACAACCCUGACCUCUGUAAGGGUGCCCAUCCCCCUCCUCUUAGUACACCUCCCCUGCCCCCACCCCAACUACCUCUGGGAUAAGAACAUGAGAGACUCAAGUUAAUGGUUUCCUCUGGGACCUUCUGGGAACACUCAGCAGGUAUAUCCUGCCACCCUGUAUGCAUGACACUAGAAACAACUUGCUUUUUCCUGUUUUUUGUUUGUUGGUUGGUUUGUUUGUUUGUUUGUUUGUUUAUCAUCAGACUCAAACCACAAUUUCUCAGAAUUCCCUGGACUGGGGGUGGGGGACACCCCACCAUGGGGCAUUUCUCACCAUUUUAGUACAAACUGGAACAUCAGGUGUGUCCUGGAAGAGACUCCUGGGGGUCAGUGGGGAGUACCUCUGGUGUUAGGGCACUGACUAUUCCUAAGUCUAAACCUCUGGUUUCCUGUGUGUAAAACGGGGCCAGUGUGGAGUUGCAGGGAGCCGGGAGCCCCAGGGGCCCAUAAGCAUUGAUUUUGGUGCUGGUGCUGUUGGGCAGGUGGCUUGGAGGGUAGGAAAUGAGUAAAGGUCAUCUGUUCAGAGCCAGCCAAGCCUGCAUGAGAUAGGAUCUAUUUAUGAGCAUCUUCAUGCAGGAUCUUAAAAGAGGAAGCCUCUGCUUAUUGACACUACCUGUCACAUGUGGGGUGAACUUACAGAACCUCCUACUGCAGGUUCACCCCAGUUUCACUGCUUCCUUUCACUUUGUUCACAGUAGGGACAAAGAUUCCUUCUAGGGGUAGCCCUCACAGACAAUACAGGUGUAAAUGGAUGAUCCUCACAGUAAAUUGAAGAUCUCAGCCAUAUUAAGAAAAAAAUGAUCUUUAGAGCAACGGGCCCAGACCCCAGAAUUAGGCAAUUAGAGGAUAUGGUUCCAGCUCUUUCUCUCUAAUUUGAUGCACCCUGAACAUCACUCAGAGAAUUCAAGCAUAAAUUGCUUUAUAUUUUUAAAAAAUCCUUUAGAGAAAUACAGUGGGCAAAUGACAUCAUGCCCAAGCACCGAGAUGCAACUUGGCACUUUCAUUCAUUCCACAAAUGUUUAUUGAACACCUAAGACACUGUGUUAGGUGCUAUCUUCCUAUUACCUACCUAGUGAAACUUGUUCACUAGAGACAGGAGUCAGAAGAUAGAUAGAUAGAUAGAUAGAUAGAUAGAUAGAUAGAUAGAUAGAUAGAUAAAUUAGUAAUAUAUCAGGUGGAUGUUGGUAAGUGCUAGGGAGAAGGAAGGGGAAUAGGGAGGGUGGAGGCAUGGGGGAGAUGGUGAUAUGCAAUUGUAAAUCAGGAAAGUUCUCACAGAGAGGGUGAUGUUUUAGCAAAGACCUUAAGGAAAUGAGAUCCUUUACUCUGUUAUCCAGAAUUCUCACUUAAGCCGCAGGUCUGCAUCUUUUAAGUGCAAUGAUAAUUAAUAUUCAUCAUUUGAUUUUCACUGCUCUAAAACAGUGGUUCCCAAACUUUAACAUGCAUUAAAAAAAAAAAAUCAUCCAGUGAUUUUCAGAUGCAGAGUGGAUGGGGGCUCUGAAAACUGCAUCUUUUUAACAAGCACCUCUAUCUGAUGAUGCUGAUAACUGAGGUUUUCCUUGGACCACUGUUGAAGAAACACUAUUUUUAAAUAUACUAAAGAGUCUUCUAGAAUGACAACAACAACAAAAUUAAAGAUUAAAUUACAGUCUGUGUGGUUUUGGUGUUGAGAGUAUUUCACUGUGUUCUCAUUCUCUGAAAAUGCAAUACCCAAGCAAAACCCUGGAUUACCCAGAACAUCCCAUUUCUUGUCCAUACAGGAGAAGGAAAAAUUUACCAUAAGCUAAUAAGGAGCCAAACAUUUAUAAUAACAUUUAUAACUAGUGUGUUUUACACACUUUUCCCCAUUUUUACCCUCAUUCUUCUCUAUAAUUUUUACUUUUUCUAAAUUUCUGGACUCAUCCAUCAGGCAGCUGGCUGGAAUAAUGAGAGCACUUGACCAAGAGUCAAAGGAUCCACAGGUUAAUCCUGGAACCACCACUGUUUCCCGUUGAGUGUCUCUUGGGAUUUGCCACUCUGCCUUCUGAGCUUCCAUUUACUCUCAGUUGCUGUGAGACUUAAGUGAGAUAAUGUAUAUGAAAACAUCUUAAGAAUUCUGUAGGUAAGGAGGCUCUGUGACUGCAUUCCCAGGUCUGAUUAACUUGGUCCAGUUCAAAAUUCAGUUACUUCAGGACAGUGUGGAACUGGCAUGAGGACGUACAUAUAGAUCAAUAGAAUAGAUUUGAGGUCAGAAAUAAACCCUUACAUUUAUGAUCA
rnacentral:lncRNA from 1 species